GCGGGGUUGGUGUAGUUGGUCAUCACGUCAGUCUAACAGAGCAAUCUGAAGAGCACUGAAGGUCGCGAGUUCAAGUCUCGCAUCCCGUA